CAGAUUCAGAUGGAAUCUUCCAAGCAUCGGUCUUUCCACCAAGCAAAACAUCCUUAGUUGCUGCAGCAAAACCAAACACAAGAAAAAGGAGCAAAAGAGAUGAAGAAGAUGAAACAGCCAUUGUUUUUUUUUUUUUGCAAAAAUUAAUAAAAGAAGUUUUUGUUUUGUAACAGAUGCAGAAAAUGAGGUUGGUUUAGGAAUGUGAAGAGUGUGAGUUUUGGAGUGUUGUAUUUAUGGAGUGGUAAUGAGAAACUAGCCGUUGUUUGAUGGUUGGGAUUUGUGAAAGAACGUUCUAGAUUUACUAUGGUGUGGGGUCCACUGUGUAUUGUUUUCUUGUGCAUUGGUUGGGAAUAAGGAAGUAACGGUCAAAAAAUUGUGGUCUUCAUAAUACUGGCUA